CGCCAUUACAGAUGAGUCAAAGGUCAAGGACGUCUUUACCGUUUAUUUUGAUUAUUACAAAGGCAGGUGAAUCUGCUGUCUGACGACUUGUACAAGUCUUGAUGUCGUACUCGUUAGACUAAUCCGUUGUAGCUGUGAUGCGUUGAGACUUCUCCUACGACUGGGGUAUUUCUUUGCUUCAGACGGGCAUAUUUCUCUCUCAAAAGUUACUCUUUAAAUGGAAACUACAAACAGGAAGUUUUUAUCAUUAAUCACGUGUUAUUGUAAUAUGAAGUAAGAUUUCUACACAUGUAUUACAUGUUUGAAUUACAUCUCCAUCAUCAAACUUUAAACAUUAGUUACCCUUGAAAUGGAAACUACAAACAGGAGGUUAUUAUCAUUAAUCAAAUGUUAUUGUAUAGUGUAAUAUGAGGUAUGAGCUAUGCGUGUUAAAAGAGUUUCGAACUGCCCUUAAAGCAUUUGGUAUGGAGAAUCUAGAAAAGGGUCCAAUGACUGGUAAGGACAGGGUUCGUAUGAAGAUAUGCAAACCACGUCUUAUAGCGGGUAUCGGUUCCCCACAAACUCUACUCGACCAUUUAGACAGUCAUGAUGUAUUUCUACGUGAAGAGAAACAAAUGAUUGACAUGGAGAGGCUACCAAGUGAUAAAGUUAGAAAGAUGAUCGACAUAUUGAUAGAUAAUUGUCGUGGUGGGUUUUCAGCAUUUGUUGAGUGUUUACGAGAAACCCGCCAUUAUAGCUUGGCUGAUAUGUUAGAAAACUGUUUAGAGCGCCAAACCUCUGUACAGAUACCAAAUGAUAGAACCAAUUUACAAGCAGGCAUAGAUGAACCUAUACAGAGACCAAAUGAUAGCACUUAUCUAAAAACUUACCCAGAUCAACCAUUAGCUGCAGCCCCUCCACCUGCAACAGUCCGUCUUGUAAAAGAUUUUUAUCCUAAAGAAUGUGGUCGUAUGCCAGAGCACGAAUAUCAAAAGAUCCAGAGUAAUUUUCACUUUUUGUUAAAAAAUUUAAAUCCGGGUCCUCUGUGUAUAAAACUUUUUGAAAUGGGUGUGUUUGAUGAAGAUGACAAGGAUAAAAUAGAGCGAGCACAGGGUCGUACAGAGAAGUGUGAUAAGCUACUGAUGAUUCUGCUCGAAUGUGGCAUAAACGCUUUUAGCAAGUUCUUAACUGCCCUAUCUGAUACGGGGCAUGGGCAAGCGAGGGCAGUACUAGAACUAACAGAUAUACGAGUAACACAAGUGUAGUAGAACGCUGCUACAUUCUGCAUACUAUCUGCUACGGGGCAUGAACGAGAGAGGACAUUAUUAGAACUAACAGAAAUACGUGCAACAAAAGUGUCGUAGCAUGCAUCAGCAGUAUCAGUCUACAUUCUUCACACUACAUGUAUCUGCUACGGGGCAUGAACAAGAGAGGACUUUAUUAGAACUAACAGAAAUAUGUGCAACACAAGCGUCAUAGCAAGCAUGAGCAGCAUUAGUCUACAUUCUGCACACAGAGAACUAAGUACUCUACUUUGAGAAUAAAUCUCUGCCCUAAAUGACCGCCAUAUCCAACAAUUAGUAUACUGUUUUAGGUCCUACUCCGGUUCACAUCUGUUAUACACAAAAAGACUAAUUAAACCUUUUCAAUUUCAUUCAAUGAAAGCAGAAUAUAUACUUAUCAAACUUCUCGAAAUAUAUUUAGUGUUUUCGACUAAAAUCUUCAAAUUUAGGACUUAAAUUGUCGUUCAACUAGCUUAGUCUCUAUUCUUAUGGGGAGGUAAUUGUAGAGGGUAGGGAGUUAUCCAUCUACGGGUUGGGGAGUUAUCGGAUUAAAAUUUUAACAGUCGAAAUGCGAUGAAUUUAAAUAUGUAACACCAGAUGAAAUAAAUUAUAUUCAUUUCAACUA